CCAGACUCCUACGGGAGGCAGCAGUGGGGAAUAUUGCACAAUGGGGGAAACCCUGAUGCAGCAACGCCGCGUGAAGGAAGACGGUUUUCGGAUUGUAAACUUCUGUUCUUAGUGAAGAAGAAUGACGGUAGCUAAGGAGCAAGCCACGGCUAACUACGUGCCAGCAGCCGCGGUAAUACGUAGGUGGCAAGCGUUGUCCGGAAUUACUGGGUGUAAAGGGAGCGUAGACGGCUGUGCAAGUCUGGAGUGAAAGGCAUGGGCUCAACCUGUGGACUGCUUUGGAAACUGUGCGGCUUGAGUGUCGGAGAGGCAAGUGGAAUUCCUAGUGUAGCGGUGAAAUGUGUAGAUAUUAGGAGGAACACCAGUGGCGAAGGCGGCUUGCUGGACGAUGACUGACGUUGAGGCUCGAAAGCGUGGGGAGCAAACAGGAUUAGAUACCCCCGUAUAC
rnacentral:rRNA from 1 species